UAGCUCAGUAGUUAGAGCGUUGGACUUCUAAUCAAAAGAUCGUGGGUCCGAGUCCCGG
rnacentral:tRNA from 1 species